rnacentral:rRNA from 1 species
AGAGUUUGAUCCUGGCUCAGAAUCAACGCUGGCGGCGUGCCUCAGACAUGCAAGUCGGACGCGAAAGGCCCCUUCGGGGGCCGAGUAGAGUGGCGCACGGGUGAGUAACACGUGGGUAAUUUGCCUUCGGGUGGGGAAUAACAGCCGGAAACGGCUGCUAAUACCGCAUAAUGCAGCGGCACCUAAUGGUGAGUAGUUGUUAAAGCAGGGGACCCUUCGGGGCCUUGCGCCUGAAGAGAAGCCCGCGGCGGAUUAGCUAGUUGGUAGGGUAACGGCCUACCAAGGCGACGAUCCGUAGCCGGCCUGAGAGGGCGGUCGGCCACACUGACACUGACAUACGGGUCAGACUCCUACGGGAGGCAGCAGUCGGGAAUUUUGGGCAAUGGGCGCAAGCCUGACCCAGCAACGCCGCGUGGAGGAUGAAGUCCCUCGGGAUGUAAACUCCGUAAGAAUGGGAAGAAUAAGAGGGGGCUAAUAUCCUUCUCGAUGACGGUACCGUUCGUAAGCUCCGGCUAACUCCGUGCCAGCAGCCGCGGUAAUACGGGGGGAGCAAGCGUUGUUCGGAUUUACUGGGCGUAAAGGGCGCGUAGGCGGCGCAACAAGUCACUUGUGAAAUCUCCGGGCUCAACUCGGAGCGGCCAAGUGAUACUGUCGUGCUAGAGUGCGGAAGGGGCGACUGGAAUUCUCGGUGUAGCGGUGAAAUGCGUAGAUAUCGAGAGGAACACCUGUGGCGAAGGCGGGUCGCUGGGCCGACACUGACGCUGAGGCGCGAAAGCUAGGGGAGCGAACGGGAUUAGAUACCCCGGUAGUCCUAGCCUUAAACGAUGGAUGCUUGGUGUCCGAGGUUUGAUAGUCCUCGGGUGCCGUCGCUAACGCAUUAAGCAUCCCGCCUGGGGAGUACGGUCGCAAGACUGAAACUCAAAGGAAUUGACGGGGACCCGCACAAGCGGUGGAGCAUGUGGUUUAAUUCGACGCAACGCG